UACGGGGGGGGGCAAGCGUUGUUCGGAAUUACUGGGCGUAAAGGGCGCGUAGGCGGUUUGCUAAGUUGGAUGUGAAAACUCUGGGCUUAACCCAGAGCCUGCAUCCAAAACUGGCAAACUUGAGUACUGGAGGGGAAAGCGGAAUUCCUGGUGUAGCGGUGAAAUGCGUAGAUAUCAGGAGGAACACCGGUGGCGAAGGCGGGUCUCUGGGCCGAUACUGACGCUGAGGAGCGAAAGCGUGGGGGAGCGAACAGG
rnacentral:rRNA from 1 species